UGGUGGAGCGAUUUGUCUGGUUUAUUCCGAUAACGAACGAGACUCCAACCUACUAACUAGUGCGCGGAUCGGUUUACGCCAGUCCGUGGUACUUCUUAGAGGGAUAAGCGGUGUUCAGCCGCGUGAGAAGGAGCAAUAACA
rnacentral:rRNA from 1 species